rnacentral:lncRNA from 1 species
CCCCGCCCCCAGCCGUGGCCCGGCCCCGCCCCCGGCCCGCCCUGCCUGCACUUCGGCGGCGGCGAGCGGCGGAAGCGGGUCGGGUUGCUCCGCUCUCCUCCUCGGGGAUGCGAAAGCGCCGUCCCGGGCCGCCCUCAGCGCUGCUUUCCCCUUCCUCCUUUUCAUUGCGAUCCUGACGCCAGCGACGUUCCUUAGCUUCUUGGUAACCGCCAGCUCGAUGGUCAUCCGUCAUUCAUUCGUUCUUUAAACAUUCAUUAAAGUCGCAAAAUUCCAGCUCGAGAUCGCCGCUCCGCGGAGGGUUUAACCCACUGCCCGGGGCCUGAAGUUGUAUCCGAGUAAGCGCCGAGGGAGCCGCAGCCCCGGUCACCGGCGCCAGUUGGCAGCAACGCAGUCUUCCCUGCGGAGGGAUCACCUGGACAGGGGUCACCUGGACAAUUUAAUGAGCCCGACAAAAGGGCUCUCUAAUGCGCUGCCAAUUGGUGGGUCUUCUGACCCGUGGAGCUGUAAACAUGACCUCGGGAAGUAGCUCAAGGGAAAUUCGUUGCUCACCAGAAAUAUACGGGAGGUAGAAGUCCGAGGGAAGAACACCCGCGAUUCCUCUCGCUACCAAGGACACCAUGUCAGCUUUUAUAAGUGACACCGCACGACGCGCUACCAGCGCUUUCUGCCGAUGCAGAGCGAGUUGCCAGGCACCCUCGCGGGCCACACACUGCUUUCUCCCGGUGGAUGAGGUCGCCUGCAGACCCGGGCUGGGCCUUAUGGGCUGCCCAGGUGUAGAUCUGCUACACCUGGUGAUUGCAUUCUCCGGGGGGAAUGAAAAAUUCUGACCAAGAUGUAGAUAUUGUGCAUUUGUCAUGAAAUGUGGUGGUGGGAAACCGAGAUUAAGGCUGUUUGAAGGUAUUUCUUCUGAUUCUCAAUUCCUGUUCUCUGUCACAUACGGAGUACUUCGACUGCACAGAGCAAAGCAAAGCCGUCUCUUAGGGGCCUCUCUCUC